rnacentral:rRNA from 1 species
GCAAGUCGAACGAGAAAGCACUUCGGUGUGAGUAUAGUGGCGCACGGGUGAGUAACGCGUAGAUGAUAUGCCUUUUAGUGGGGGACAACAGUUGGAAACGACUGCUAAUACCGCAUAAGCUUGGUGACAUUGGAAAAACCAAGGAAAGGGGGCUUCGGCUCUCGCUAGAAGAUUGGUCUGCGUGACAUUAGCUUGUUGGUGGGGUAAUGGCUUACCAAGGCAACGAUGUCUAGCUGGUCUGAGAGGAUGAUC